rnacentral:lncRNA from 1 species
CUGCGGUUACAAGUAUCAGAAUUGUUUAGAUUUUUGAUAAUUUUCAUAUCCAAUGCACUCGUAGACAUCAGAUACGUUAUUUUCGAAAUGCUUUGACAGGAUCUGUUUAUUAUAAUUAAAAGUUUUGAGUAGAUUUAUCUUGCACAUACAUGACAUAGUUAUCUGUUAAAUGACACUGGAAGAAUUGUAAUUUACAUUGCUUUAAAAAUUGAUGAAUUGAAG